rnacentral:misc_RNA from 1 species
AACCCUUCAGCUCCUCUUGACACAGUCUUCCUUCUCAGUUGCGGAUUUUGCACAGGCUUUGGCGCUGCUGUUAAUGUUGCUAAACCUCCAAAGGGCUCAACAGUAGCUGUCUUUGGAUUAGGAGCUGUAGGCCUUGCUGCUGCUGAAGGGGCCAAGUUUUCUGGGGCUUCCAGGAUUAUUGGCGUUGAUGUGAACCCUAAUAGAUUGGAACAAGCAAAGAAGUUUGGCGUAACCGAGUUUGUGAAUCCAAAAGAUCACAACAAGCCAGUUCAUGAGGUACUUGUUGAAAUGACAAAUGGAGGUGUAGACACAAGCAUAGAAUGCACAGGAAAUAUUCAGGCCAUGAUUUCAGCAUUUGAAAGUGUCCAUGAUGGCUGGGGGGUGGCUGUUCUUGUGGGGUUUCCUGGCAAAGAUGAUGUCUUCAAGACUCAUCCCCUCAAUUUCUUGACAGAAAGGACUCUCAAGGGUACUUUCUAUGGGAACUUCAAGCCCCGGACUGACAUCCCUUUACUUGUGGAGAAGUACAUGAACAAAGAGAUCGAACUUGAAAAGUUCAUCACUCAUUCAGUACCAUUCUCAGAGAUCAACACAGCUUUUGAUUUAAUGCUUAAAGGAGAAGGCAUUCGAUGUCUCAUUCGAAUGGAGGAGUAGACUAGAUGGCUUCAAGCAUCUCAGGCAGUCUCCUUUAUGAUAAGAAAAAAUAAUUAUAAUGAACAAUAAAAGGCUGUUGUAGUUAUAGUCUCUAUAAGGUCAACAUUCCUGUGUCAAAUAACAAAACUUGUUGGAAACAUCAGAGUUCUCCAUUUCUAGUUUUGCAAAUGUAAUUUCAAGUUUGGUUCUUGCUGUAAAUUUUAAAACCUUUUAAGGAGAAGGAGAUAAGAUUGAGCUUGUAACCACCUAAAUUAAAAAUUAAUAUGCUUCAUCAUUG